rnacentral:rRNA from 1 species
AUGAACGCUGGCGGCGUGCCUAAUACAUGCAAGUCGAGCGAACGGACGAGAAGCUUGCUUCUCUGAUGUUAGCGGCGGACGGGUGAGUAACACGUGGAUAACCUACCUAUAAGACUGGGUUAACUUCGGGAAACCGGAGCUAAUACCGGAUAAUAUUUUGAACCGCAUGGUUCAAAAGUGAAAGACGGUCUUGCUGUCACUUAUAGAUGGAUCCGCGCUGCAUUAGCUAGUUGGUAAGGUAACGGCUUACCAAGGCAACGAUGCAUAGCCGACCUGAGAGGGUGAUCGGCCACACUGGAACUGAGACACGGUCCAGACUCCUACGGGAGGCAGCAGUAGGGAAUCUUCCGCAAUGGGCGAAAGCCUGACGGAGCAACGCCGCGUGAGUGAUGAAGGUCUUCGGAUCGUAAAACUCUGUUAUUAGGGAAGAACAUAUGUGUAAGUAACUGUGCACAUCUUGACGGUACCUAAUCAGAAAGCCACGGCUAACUACGUG